UUGCUCAUUAUUGGUCAAAAGUUGGCCUUUUAGUGAGACUCUCUCGCAUGGGUUUAUUCUUCGGGUUUUGGGUUUUUGUUUUGUGCGAAUUUUCUUACUCGGUUUCAAAGUCACACCACGAGGUCGAAGCAACUAUUUUUGGGAUUUUUUUCUUUCUUAUGGACUACAAUCUAGGCUGCUGCGUAUACUUGGUUUCUACAUCUUUGGUGAUGAAAUUGCUCCCUUUUUUUUCAAUUUCAUAUGGUUCCCGAGGCCAAAUCGCCCCUCUCCCAGUUUAGGAAAAAGAGAGAGAGAGAAAUUCUUUGUGAAGGUUCGAUUAGGGUUUAAAAGGGGUAGAAAAUUUUGAGAAUUUCGUCUUCUAACCAGCCUUUUUUUAGCUCGUAGGCCACUGAUUUCAGCCUUCUGGUGGUGUGCAUCUCAUAUACAAAAUGGGAUUAAAAAUGGGAGAUCAAAUUGGUGCUUUUGAAGAUGCUAAAAGAGCUUCUCUUUUAGCUCCUAAUUUCUCACAGGUAAAUUUGUUUCAUGAUUGCUUAUUUCCCUACUGUUUCAAGCAUCAAUGUGAGUAAACAGAUAAGAAUCUCAACUCUCAAAUAUAAUUCCUGAACAAAUUUCUUUCAUAUUGAUCUUGUUUUCAACCAGAAAUUUGAUUAGAAAAUUUGCCUUGGUAUACUUGAUACAAGAGCAAGAUCUAGGAUACUGCACAAGUUCGAAUGAAAAAUUUUAUGGGCACUACUGAGAAUUCAAGUUCAUUAACUAGCUUACUCAAAUUUUUUCUUGGUUUGUCCUUCAUUAUAAGUUGUUGGUACUUAUAAUGAAACAAAGGGUUUAGUGCAGUAGUAAAGAAUGUAGAUAUCAAUGGUUUACCCUUUCUUUUACUGCACCACACCCUUUAGAUAAUUUUUUUUUUCACUAUAAUGUUUAAUUCAUUUUGACUUUCAAUUAAAAGAUUCCAUAUUAACUCAUAUAUAUAACGCUCCACCAUCCGCCUCAACUCAUUUUGUUUUGUUUUUAGUGCAAGCUUCGAUUACAGCCAAUACAUGGGUGGUUACCGAUUCUCCUCGGACUAAAAGUACAGUUUUUUCCAUCUCAUGUUUAACUAUUUUACAAGAGUAGGAGACUGCAUUUAUAAAUUAAGGAAAAAUAGAAGAAGAAAUUUUAUUAAGUAAAUUAUUAAUAAGUAGCUAGUACUUUAAAUAUGUGUUUGACUUGAUAAUAUAUUUAAACAUCAACUUUUUAUCUUAAUAUGAUGUCAUCCUAUAAUUUUUCUUGUAAAAAUUUUCUGGAAGUGUAGCCUUAUGAUUUUUUUUUAGUUUCAGAACUUCAGGACUUGCUCACUACAAUCAUCAACCAGUUAGGUAAAUCUUCUCAUUAUAAUAUGAUUCCAUGGAUAACUCCUGGAAAUGCAACAAUUGUACUUGAAAAUCAUAUAUGUCACUAGUUAUAAUCUACUUUAGCAUUCUCUUGUAAUCCUCUUGUAAUCUUUUGAUAUGCUUCAUGAAAACAACUUGCGUUUUUUUGAUCUUCACUUGGUCACACAGAUCUUAAUAAUUUAGAGAACAUAUGGAGGCUAGCUAUAGGUGGAAAAUAUGAUGAAGACGAUGCCCCAGAAUUUGAGCCUGGGGAGACAUUUAAUUGCUAUGUCUAUUACAAUUUGUGAUAGUAACCAGAAUCGUUACUUGGUCAGUGAUGUGUACAAUUAAUUUUUUAAAACUUAAGUUGUUUAAUGAGUUUAUUGAGGUAAAAUGUGAACAGUUAAUUUUGUAAA